UACGGAAGGGGCUAGCGUUGUUCGGAAUUACUGGGCGUAAAGCGCGCGUAGGCGGCUUACCAAGUUGGGGGUGAAAUCCCGGGGCUCAACCCCGGAACGGCCUUCGAAACUGGUAAGCUUGAGGCCGGGAGAGGGGAGUGGAAUUCCGAGUGUAGAGGUGAAAUUCGUAGAUAUUGGGAGGAACACCGGUGGCGAAGGCGGCGCACUGGCCCGAUACUGACGCUGAGGUGCGACAGCGUGGGGAGCAAACAGG
rnacentral:rRNA from 1 species